AGAGUUUGAUCCUGGCUCAGGAUGAACGCUGGCGGCGUGCUUAACACAUGCAAGUCGACGGAAAGGCCCUGCUUGCAGGGUACUCGAGUGGCGAACGGGUGAGUAACACGUGGGUGAUCUGCCCUGUACUUUGGGAUAAGCCUGGGAAACUGGGUCUAAUACCGAAUAUGACCACUUCUUGGAUGGGGUGGUGGAAAGCUUUUGCGGUAUGGGAUGAGCUCGCGGCCUAUCAGCUUGUUGGUGGGGUAAUGGCCUACCAAGGCGUCGACGGGUAGCCGGCCUGAGAGGGUGUACGGCCACAUUGGGACUGAGAUACGGCCCAGACUCCUACGGGAGGCAGCAGUGGGGAAUAUUGCACAAUGGGCGCAAGCCUGAUGCAGCGACGCCGCGUGGGGGAUGACGGCCUUCGGGUUGUAAACUCCUUUCGCAACCGACGAAGCCUUUUGGUGACGGUAGGUUGAGAAGAAGCACCGGCUAACUACGUG
rnacentral:rRNA from 1 species